AACGAACGCUGGCGGCAUGCCUAACACAUGCAAGUCGAACGAGACCUUCGGGUCUAGUGGCGCACGGGUGCGUAACGCGUGGGAACCUGCCCUUAGGUUCGGAAUAACUCCCCGAAAGGGGUGCUAAUACCGGAUAAUGUCUUCGGACCAAAGAUUUAUCGCCUUUGGAUGGGCCCGCGUUGGAUUAGCUAGUUGGUAGGGUAAAAGCCUACCAAGGCGACGACCCAUAGCUGGUCUGAGAGGAUGAUCAGCCACACUGGGACUGAGACACGGCCCAGACUCCUACGGGAGGCAGCAGUGGGGAAUAUUGGACAAUGGGCGAAAGCCUGAUCCAGCAAUGCCGCGUGAGUGAUGAAGGCCUUAGGGUUGUAAAGCUCUUUUACCCGGGACGAUAAUGACAGUACCGGGAGAAUAAGCUCCGGCUAACUCCGUG
rnacentral:rRNA from 1 species